rnacentral:rRNA from 1 species
AUUGAACGCUAGCGGGAGGCUUUACACAUGCAAGUCGAACGAGUGGCGGACGGGUGAGUAAUAUCUCGGAACGUGCCCGGUAGCGGGGGAUAACUACUCGAAAGGGUGGCUAAUACCGCAUACUAUUGGAUGGGCCGAUAUCGGAUUAGCUAGUUGGUGGGGUAAAGGCUCACCAAGGCGACGAUCCGUAGCUGGUUUGAGAGGACGACCAGCCACACUGGGACUGAGACACGGCCCAGACUCCUACGGGAGGCAGCAGUGGGGAAUUUUGGACAAUGGGGGAAACCCUGAUCCAGCCAUCCCGCGUGUAUGAGAAGGCCUUCGGGUUGUAAAGUACUUUUGGCAGGGAAGCGGUAUCUGCAGAAUAAGCACCGGCUAACUACGUGCCAGCAGCCGCGGUAAUAC